GAUGAAGAACGUAGCGAAAUGCGAUAAGUAAUGUGAAUUGCAGAAUUCAGUGAAUCAUCGAAUCUUUGAACGCACCUUGCACCCUUUGGCAUUCCGAAGGGUAUGCUCGUUUGAGUGUCAUUGUACUCUCACACUUCCAAUCUUUGGACUGGGAGCAGUGGACUUGGGUGUUGCUGCUUACUGUGGCUCACCUCAAAUCGAUUCGUGCACCUCUUGGUUGGACAUAGUACGGCGUGAUAAGUGUCUUCGCCGGCACCUCAGUAGAGGGUGGCUGAUCAGGAGCUCUGUGCUUCAAACCGUCCUCGGACAACAACUGACAACUUGACCUCAAAUCGAGUAGGACUACCCGCUGAACUUAAGCAUAUCAAUAAGCGGAGGA
rnacentral:misc_RNA from 1 species